ensembl:lincRNA
UAUUGAUGACCAACUCAAAUAAUUGAAUGCACUCUCCGGGUGCACUUUUCGCGCUUCGGGUUGCAAUGCCCGAAGGGGCGGGUGCAGAGCGCAUGCUCGGGAGCAAUGUCCACGCUGCACCAGGGCGCUGCCGUCUGACCUUGACAGGUGUGUCAGCUUCUCUGUAGCACGUGACUCACAGGGACCGAUCUGCAUUCAUGGCAAUAGAAGGUACCUCUGGGGAGACACACGAGUAUUCGAUGAAGACGAAUGGUGACUCUUGGACAUUCAAUCAAGCCACCCCAAAGCGGAUUCAUCCUGCCCCCUAAUGAAGAUGGACAUUCUCCGCCAUCCUGCCAGGGGACACGGUCUCCCGUCCCGCGGUGCAGAACGAGAUGGAGAAAUAGCCACUUGGAUUUGGGGAUCUUAUCAACCGUGCUG